GAUAGAUUAUUCUGUUAUUAAAACUUUUCUUGAAGAAAAAUAUUUAAGUAUUUGUAAAAUCAUCACAGAACAUAUGAUAUGCUCCCAAUUGUAUAUACCAAUAGAUUAAAUAUGUUGAGAGCGAGUUGAAGGAAAUAUGGUAAAAUGUUUAAGUAGUUUACAGGUGGUGAGAAUCAAGUGAAAUUUCUCUUUUUAUAUUUACCUUUAUUUCCUCAACUGUCCAGAAAGAGUAUGUUAUCUUAACAAGCAGCAAAUGAUUAAUUUUUAAAAGCACUCUGUUGACUGCUGUCCUUCCUUCCUUUCACAUGAAAACGUUUUAAAGAUUGUCUCUCUUACAUCAUUGAAAAUGUUUUCAUCCAAGGAGAGUUACCAGAAUUACCAAAUAGAAAUACAGAAUGCCUCAAUUUUAAUUUCAGAUGCACACAUUUUUUUUUAGUAUAUCUCAUGCAACAUUUAGGACAUACUUACACACACACACACACACACACACACACACACACUUACAUGCAACACACAGCACCAUGCCUGCAGGAAUUUAAGUGAAUAUGUGAAAGAGAAAUUUUACAAACUAAAAACUGAAAAAAAUGAUUUGCUUUAAAAGUUAGCUCCUUUUGGUAUUCAAAUAAUUCUAUUCAUACAACAUCUCAUAACAUUUUCCUGCCCAGGGCAUGUGUACUGAAUGUUCCAAGGCAUGUUUUUAAGAUUAAGGCAAUUUUCAGUAAGAUUCGUUCUCAACUGAGUACAUUUUAUUUAUCCUUUUCAAUGACCUUAUCCAAAGCAGGAUAACAAAAAGCCUCUAGGCACACCUGUGAUUCACUUGAGGUGCCUCUAAUAACUUGAAAAGAACUAAAUUGUUUUUAAGUUGCGUACAGCAAGACUUUGUCUACAGCUGAGAAAUCAUUCAAUCUAUGACACUAUUGCUAUUUAGUUACAGUAAUACCAGUAAGGCAAAUUAAAGCAUUAUUUUUGCAUUUUUUCCUAGCUGUGUUUUUAAGAUUAUCAUAAAAUUUAAGCAGAACUUUAUGCACAAAUGAAAUCCAAACAGCAAUGUUUGAACUUUUCCAGGAAAGACCCAAUACGUACCAAGCUGUUUCCACUUAAAAUCCCUUAAAAUAUCAGUCACAACAGACAGAAAACAAAUAACCAUGAUAAUGUAAUAGCUGGCAUUUACUGAACACUUUCUGCGGGCCAGGCACUAGGCUCAGCACUUUUCAUACAUUAUCUCAUUUAACCCUCAGGGCAACAUUACAAAGUAUAUGUUACUGACAUCCCUACUUUCCAGAAGAAAGCACCAGAAGUCAGAGAGGUAAACUAAUUUUCCAAGGCCAAUGCCUUGGCUAUGAUCAAAAUCAGAUCUUUCUGUAGGGCAGGCAGCUCAAAUUAGUAGAGCUGC
rnacentral:lncRNA from 1 species